AUUUAAAUAGCUUAUAUAUAGAGCGUGACAUUGAAGAUGUUAAAGAGAUUAUUCUAAUCUUUAAAUAA
rnacentral:tRNA from 1 species